CACGUAGGGGGCAAGCGUUGUCCGGAUUUAUUGGGCGUAAAGAGCUCGUAGGUGGUUCGGUAAGUCAGGUGUGAAACCUCCAGGCUCAACCUGGAGACGCCACUUGAUACUGCUGUGACUGGAGUCCGGUAGGGGAGAGUGGAAUUCCUGGUGUAGCGGUGAAAUGCGUAGAUAUCAGGAGGAACACCGGUGGUGUAGACGGCUCUCUGGACCGUAACUGACGCUGAGACACGAAAGCGUGGGUAGCAAACAGG
rnacentral:rRNA from 1 species